rnacentral:snoRNA from 1 species
AAGGCUGUACUUGCAGGGAUCAUUUCUAUAGUUAGUUACUAGGGAAGUUUCUCUGAGAGUAUCACAUUAAACUCAAAGCUUAAACCAAGACAGU